CGAACGGGUGAGUAAUACGUAAAUAAUCUGCCCUGGAGUUGGGGAUAACCAUCCUAACGGGUGGCUAAUACCGAAUAUUGUUAUUUUAUCGCAUGAUAGUAUAACGAAAGGCUUCGGCCGCUCCUGGAUGAGUUUGCGUCCCAUUAGCUUGUUGGCGGGGUAAAGGCCCACCAAGGCGACGAUGGGUAGCCGGCCUGAGAGGGUGAACGGCCACAUUGGGACUGAGAUACGGCCCAGACUCC
rnacentral:rRNA from 1 species